CUUCGGUGCAGUAGAGUGGCGAAAGGGCGAGGAAUAUGUACCUAACGUGCCUUCAGGUAAGGGAUAGCUCAUGGAAACGUGUGGUAAUACCUUAUAAUCUCAUUCUUCCGUAUGGUUGAUUGAGCAAAGGCUUGCUGCCUGAAGAUCGGGGUACAUCCUAUCAGCUUGUUGGUGAGGUAACGGCUCACCAAGGCGAAGACGGGUAGCGGGUGUGAGAGCAUGACCCGCCGCAUCGGGACUGAGACACUGCCCGGACUCCUACGGGAGGCUGCAGUAACGAAUAUUCCGCAAUGCGCGAAAGCGUGACGGAGCAAUGCCGCGUGUGGGAUGAAGCAUCUAGGUGUGUAAACCACUGUCAGGGUUUAGGAAUUUUGACCAGACCCAAAGGAAGAGCCGGCUAACUCUGUGCCAGCAGCCGCGGUAAUACAGAGGGCUCAAGCGUUAAUCGGAAUCACUGGGCUUAAAGGGUCCGCAGGCGGAUUAGCAAGUAUCUUGUGAAAUACCAUGGCUCAACCAUGGAACUGCUCGGUAAACUGCUAAUCUUGAACACGGUAGGGGCCAUCGGAACUCUAGGUGGAGCGGUGAAAUGCGUAGAUAUCUAGAGGAACGCCAGAGGCGAAGGCGGAUGGCUGGGCCGUUGUUGACGCUCAGGGACGAAAGCAUGGGUAGCGAACGGGAUUAGAUACCCCGGUAGUCCAUGCCCUAAACGAUGUGCACUAGGUCACGGAGGUUUUGACGCCGUCGCGGCCGAAGUUAAAAUUUUAAGUGCACCGCCUGGGGAGUACGGUCGCAAGGCUAAAACUCAAAGGAAUUGA
rnacentral:rRNA from 1 species